UCGGAGAGUUUGAUCCUGGCUCAGGAUGAACGCUGGCGGCGUGCCUAAUACAUGCAAGUCGAGCGAACUGAUUAGAAGCUUGCUUCUAUGACGUUAGCGGCGGACGGGUGAGUAACACGUGGGCAACCUGCCUGUAAGACUGGGAUAACUUCGGGAAACCGAAGCUAAUACCGGAUAGGAUCUUCUCCUUCAUGGGAGAUGAUUGAAAGAUGGUUUCGGCUAUCACUUACAGAUGGGCCCGCGGUGCAUUAGCUAGUUGGUGAGGUAACGGCUCACCAAGGCAACGAUGCAUAGCCGACCUGAGAGGGUGAUCGGCCACACUGGGACUGAGACACGGCCCAGACUCCUACGGGAGGCAGCAGUAGGGAAUCUUCCGCAAUGGACGAAAGUCUGACGGAGCAACGCCGCGUGAGUGAUGAAGGCUUUCGGGUCGUAAAACUCUGUUGUUAGGGAAGAACAAGUACAAGAGUAACUGCUUGUACCUUGACGGUACCUAACCAGAAAGCCACGGCUAACUACGUGCCAGCAGCCGCGGUAAUACGUAGGUGGCAAGCGUUAUCCGGAAUUAUUGGGCGUAAAGCGCGCGCAGGCGGUUUCUUAAGUCUGAUGUGAAAGCCCACGGCUCAACCGUGGAGGGUCAUUGGAAACUGGGGAACUUGAGUGCAGAAGAGAAAAGCGGAAUUCCACGUGUAGCGGUGAAAUGCGUAGAGA
rnacentral:rRNA from 2 species